UGGGCGAGGCUUUGAGUCAAAAUGGCUGCCUAUGUUCACAGUUCAAAGCAAGAUGCGAGGCAAGAUGUCUGGUAGCUUGGCUAAUGGAAAGUGCUAAUAAGACCUUCUGGACCAGAUAUUGUCAAAAUAUAAGAAAGCAGAACUUAAGGAAGCACUAGAAGCCUUCCUGACAUCAUAUAUCUAAGCCACUUGAUGAAAGAUUGAGUCUUGUUGAUGCCAAAUCCGUCCUGUCUUUCUUUGCUGAGAGAAUCCCGAGAAUAGGCAAAGACAUUGUAAAGGACGUCUGUCACUUUGCACUAGCAAGCAUUCAACCUAGAAUAGUUUCCUUUGAAGAACAAGUAGUGUAGCGGCUCCAUGCAGUGUGUGUUAAUGCACCAAAUAUUAGUGUAAUUUGAUUAAUUAUAAUUUAAAACUAGUCAUUGAAGUAGCAAAAAAUGUAUUAAUGGUAGCUCAAGAUAAUGUCAUGUACUAAUGGCAGCAGUCUUGUUUGUACCUUUUAAAGUUAUUCUGUAUCAAUAAUAAUUGGAUACAGUCAUUGACAACAUGAUCAUAAUCAAUAAGAUACUUGUUAUAGAACCACA
rnacentral:lncRNA from 1 species